ACCCUCGGGUGACAGGGAGACAGGUGGUGCGAUGGUUGUCGUCAGCUCGUGUCGUGAGAUGUUGGGUUAAGUCCCGCAACGAGCGCAACCCCUACGUUUAGUUGCUAACGCGUGAAGGCGAGCACUCUAGACGAACUGCCGUUGACAAAACGGAGGAAGGUGGGAUGACGUCAAAUCAUCAUGCCCCUUAUGUUCUGGGCUACACACGUGCUACAAUGGCCGGUACAGACGGAGGCGAAGCCGCGAGGCGGAGCAAAUCCGAAAAAGCCGGUCUCAGUUCGGAUUGCAGGCUGCAAUUCGCCUGCAUGAAGUCGGAAUCGCUAGUAAUCGCAGGUCAGCAUGCUGCGGUGAAUACGUUCCCGGGCCUU
rnacentral:rRNA from 1 species